rnacentral:rRNA from 1 species
GAUACGGCCCAGACUCCUACGGGAGGCAGCAGUGGGGAAUAUUGCACAAUGGGCGAAAGCCUGAUGCAGCAACGCCGCGUGAACGAUGAAGGUCUUCGGAUCGUAAAGUUCUGUUGCAGGGGAAGAUAAUGACGGUACCCUGUGAGGAAGCCCCGGCUAACUACGUGCCAGCAGCCGCGGUAAUACGUAGGGGGCUAGCGUUAUCCGGAUUUACUGGGCGUAAAGGGUGCGUAGGUGGUCCUUCAAGUCGGUGGUUAAAGGCUACGGCUCAACCGUAGUAAGCCGCCGAAACUGGAGGACUUGAGUGCAGGAGAGGAAAGUGGAAUUCCCAGUGUAGCGGUGAAAUGCGUAGAUAUUGGGAGGAACACCAGUAGCGAAGGCGGCUUUCUGGACUGCAACUGACACUGAGGCACGAAAGCGUGGGUAGCAAACAGGAUUAGAUACCCUGGUAGUCCACGCUGUAAACGAUGAGUACUAGGUGUCGGGGGUUACCCCCCUCGGUGCCGCAGCUAACGCAUUAAGUACUCCGCCUGGGGAGUACGCACGCAAGUGUGAAACUCAAAGGAAUUGACGGGGACCCGCACAAGCAGCGGAGCAUGUGGUUUAAUUCGAAGCAACGCGAAGAACCUUACCAGGUCUUGACAUCCCUCUGACCGCUCUAGAGAUAGAGUUUUCCUUCGGGACAGAGGUGACAGGUGGUGCAUGGUUGUCGUCAGCUCGUGUCGUGAGAUGUUGGGUUAAGUCC